rnacentral:rRNA from 1 species
AGAGUUUGAUCCUGGCUCAGGACGAACGCUGGCGGCGUGCUUAACACAUGCAAGUCGAACGAUGAAGCCCUUCGGGGUGGAUUAGUGGCGAACGGGUGAGUAACACGUGGGCAAUCUGCCCUUCACUCUGGGACAAGCCCUGGAAACGGGGUCUAAUACCGGAUAACACUCUGUCCCGCAUGGGACGGGGUUAAAAGCUCCGGCGGUGAAGGAUGAGCCCGCGGCCUAUCAGCUUGUUGGUGGGGUGAUGGCCUACCAAGGCGACGACGGGUAGCCGGCCUGAGAGGGCGACCGGCCACACUGGGACUGAGACACGGCCCAGACUCCUACGGGAGGCAGCAGUGGGGAAUAUUGCACAAUGGGCGAAAGCCUGAUGCAGCGACGCCGCGUGAGGGAUGACGGCCUUCGGGUUGUAAACCUCUUUCAGCAGGGAAGAAGCGAAAGUGACGGUACCUGCAGAAGAAGCGCCGGCUAACUACGUGCCAGCAGCCGCGGUAAUACGUAGGGCGCAAGCGUUGUCCGGAAUUAUUGGGCGUAAAGAGCUCGUAGGCGGCUUGUUGCGUCGGUUGUGAAAGCCCGGGGCUUAACCCCGGGUCUGCAGUCGAUACGGGCAGGCUAGAGUGUGGUAGGGGAGAUCGGAAUUCCUGGUGUAGCGGUGAAAUGCGCAGAUAUCAGGAGGAACACCGGUGGCGAAGGCGGAUCUCUGGGCCAUUACUGACGCUGAGGAGCGAAAGCGUGGGGAGCGAACAGGAUUAGAUACCCUGGUAGUCCACGCCGUAAACGUUGGGAACUAGGUGUUGGCGACAUUCCACGUCGUCGGUGCCGCAGCUAACGCAUUAAGUUCCCCGCCUGGGGAGUACGGCCGCAAGGCUAAAACUCAAAGGAAUUGACGG